rfam:Schistosoma mattheei strain Denwood, Zambia genome assembly, scaffold: SMTD_contig0000615
CAUUAGGAUUUUCUAAAAUCCAUAAUUUUUUACAUUCUACUUGAUU